rnacentral:rRNA from 1 species
UACAGAGGGUGCAAGCGUUAAUCGGAAUUACUGGGCGUAAAGUGUGCGCAGGCGGCUUCGCAAGUCGAGUGUGAAAUCCCCGAGCUUAACUUGGGAAUUGCGCUCGAAACUACGGAGCUGGAGUGUGGCAGAGGAAGGUGGAAUUCCACGUGUAGCGGUGAAAUGCGUAGAGAUGUGGAGGAACACCGAUGGCGAAGGCAGCCUUCUGGGCCAACACUGACGCUCAUGCACGAAAGCGUGGGGAGCAAACAGG